GGAGAGGUGGCUGAGUGGCUGAAAGCGGCAGAUUGCUAAUCUGUUGAGGUGAUUUAUUCGCCUCCGCGGGUUCGAAUCCCGCCCUCUCCGCCA
rnacentral:tRNA from 1 species